UGCAUCUGAAGCCUGACGAGGAUGAGAACCUCCGGGGGCAAGAGGUUCGACUCGAGCGCAGCGAGAGAACGUUGCGUCAGCAACGGCCCGCAGGGCGAGCCACGCAGUGGCGAGUCAUCCUCUAUCACCGGCAG
rnacentral:sRNA from 17 species